rnacentral:lncRNA from 1 species
CGAAAUCGCAGCAGUCCGCACUGUACCUGUCACCAUACUUCUGCUCUUGGGUCGAACCAGGGGGACAGUUUCAGCUGGAAAGAGUGGGGGGAUUUUAAUGCUAGCAUAGUUCAUUUUGAUGUUUUAUUUAAGCAGGGCAGUUCAAAGAGUUGUCCCAAAAAGUUUUUUUGCUUUGAUACUGUUACUGAAAACCUGCGUGAACCUGAACUGAGUUUGGGAAAAGGAUUGAUGUUUCGGCUCAGUCUGAACUGUUAUCAGCAUGUUCAUAUUUGCAGGCUCAACAAGCAUCAGCAAAACAAACAGUUCAAGUGACUUGAGCAAGAUCACCUUGCAGCUGUGUCCUCAGCAUAUACCAGGAGAAUUUGUACCCAGCGGUUUUAUCCUGCUAAAUGCUUGGAACCCAGCGAAGCCACUGGAGAAGUAGCACAAGGAAUAACUUUUCCCCUCCGCCUGCUUUAAAGCAGAGCAGUCUUUUCAGUGAAUAAUAAAUUCACCAUCAAAUAAGACA